GGAGAGUGCAAACGUUGUUCGGAUUCACUGGGCGUAAAGGGCACGUAGGCGGCUCGGCAAAUCGGUCGUGGAAUCCCGACGCUUACCGUCGGAACGGCGGCCGAAAAUACCGGGCUCGAGGGCGUGAGGGGUCACUGGAACUCCUGGUGAAGCGGUGAAAUGCGUAGAUAUCAGGAGGAACGCCGGAGGCGAAAGCGAGUGACUGGCGCGUUCCUGACGCUGAGGUGCGAAAGCUAGGGGAGCAAACAGGAUUAGAUACCCUGGUAGUCCUAGCCGUAAACGAUGGACACUGAGUGGAGGAGGGCUUGCCUUUCUCUGCUGCAGCUAACGCGUUAAGUGUCCCGCCUGGGGAGUACGGCCGCAAGGUUA
rnacentral:rRNA from 1 species